rnacentral:rRNA from 1 species
GCCAGCAGCUAUAUCACCCUGUAGCGUACAACUGGCAACCCAUUGAAGCUAAACAGGUGUGAGCCUGGCCAGUACUGAAUGGGACACCUCCUGGGAAAGCUAAUGAUGCUGCUGGAA